UGGCUUCUCCUUCGUAAUCCAGUCAGGACUUAAAACAUCAACUACUAGUCAACGACGGAACCUUAUGAAUUGCUAUCUGGCAUCACAUUUAUCAUUUAUGAUCCAUUUUUAACAAGUCAAUGGGUUCUGAGUCAACCGUCAUCGGAAAUGAGAUCAUUUAAAGCAGCUCUCCUUUUGUUCUUAGUCCCUCAGGGAAGUAGCGAAGAGUAAAAUGGUGCUUAUUUAGUAUCUAUCAAGUCAUUCGUCAAUCAUCAAAUAAUCUCAUGAAGAUCUGAUCUAAUCUCGUCUUCUAUCGCGGCGUCAGAUUUAUGAUGCAUGAUCAAUUUUCUCGAUCAUAUUUAUGAUCAUCAAAUAACCCUUCCCUACGCGUACGAGUCAUUCGUCCAUCAUCAAAUAAUAACAUGAAGAUGUGGGCCAAUCUCCUGUUCUGUCACGCCAUCUCAUGGAUGAUUGAUUAUCCAAUC
rnacentral:lncRNA from 1 species